CGACUAAAUAGUGUUUUGAAAAAUCUGAAACUUGGCAUAUGUCUUUCCUAUAUUCAUAGAUAUUCUGCAAAAAAUUGGGCGAUUUACAAUGAUGAAAUUAACAAAGUACCAGCGUAUCAAAAGAGUGUCGCGUAUGGAAAGAG